CUCAGCGCCGCUGCCUAGCGCGGCUCCUUCCUCCUCCCCAGCUGCUGCUGCGCUGGGAGGGGGCGGGAAUCGCCCGGGCAGCGCUCGUGUCCCUGGCUUCCCCCUCCCGGCUGGGCUGGAACGUGGAGCCCGGCAAAGUUCCACCCCGGCAACGCUGGGACUUGAGAGGGGCGGGAGGGCUGGAAUCCUGCUCCCAGCAGAGUUCGACCGAGCGAACGCAGAGAUUAGAAGGGGAGGGGGAACCUCAGCCUCAGCGACUACUGGGCACGGACAGGAGGAGGGGUCCCUCCCUCUUAGCUGCGGGGGGGAGGGAUCUGCCCUGGUAUUCAAGUGUCCUGCCUCUCCAGCCCCGUCUUCUACCGUCACCAUCGGCCUUUGCUGCUGUCAGUUGAACACGGUUUCCCCACCCCUUACCCUUUCCCUUCCUCCCCACCGGUGGCCUCUGCGGCCCGCCUCGCCCUCCCCGUCCACAGUGGAGGAGCUGAGACUUUCUCUGAAACUCAGCCAGAGCCUUUUCCAACAACAAGGGCAGGGAGGAGGAAGGAAGGUUGUUGGGCUUGGGAGAGGGAUCCUGGGAUCUGUAGUUCGGAGGAUGGUACAGCCUAUGUCCGCUCUACGGGCAGCCUGGUAAGGGGAACUACAGGGGUGGAUGCAUAGCUGCAAAAGGAGGUAAAGUUGGAAGAGGCCCGAGAGAGAAACUAGAGAGGGUCAUUACUGAACAAAUGUGCUGUGACAGAUGCUGCUUGGGGAGAAAGACCUGCUUUGAUGUGCACCAUGGAGGAUUGUGUUCCUAUGCUAGGAGAUUCUCCUUCUCAGGUAUGAAGCGGAAAUUUACAGGUUAUCAGCAUCCCGCUUGAAUGAACAAGACCCCCGACUGGACACAUUAUUUCAGCCAGUGCUAAAUGCAGAUGUAAAAUAUCCUCUUGAUAAGUAAAAUACUUCUACUUGAGAUUCCCGUGUCUGCAUCCAAGGAUCGCAUCAGCCAUUUUGGCAGCAGCCUUGCACUGGGAGCCCAUGUUCAUCUGGUUAUCCACCAUGACCCCCAAAUCUUUUUCAGAGUCAUUGCUUCCUCAGAUAGUGUUCCCCCUUCCUGCAACUACACAUUUACAUUUAGCCAUAUUAAAUGCAUAUUUGUUUGCUUGUGCCGUUUACUAAACAAUCCAGAUUGGUCUGCAAAAAGAAAGCUGGAGACUUUGAGAACCUCAGUCUUUAUUUAUAGGAGGCCAGACUGUUCCUGUGCAUAAUAUUUACACUGGUUUAGUUCCAUUUUCAUUUGGACUGCUGCAUUUUCACUGGUGAUAAUUUUUUUCUGUAGCAAUUUCAUGACCUCUCUCAAGGUAACAUUUUUUAUUUUUGUGUGCAGCUGUAUAUGCAAGGAACUGUUUCUCAUGUCAACGAUGUUAUUUAUAUUUUCACAGAAUAUAGUUUUAAGAUUUAUAUUGGGAUUUUUUUCAUGGUAAGAAAUGUACAGUAAAGUUGCCAACAUAAACAGAGAAAGCAUUUAAAUUAAGAAACACCAAAACCAUUUUUAAAUAUGUUAUUCUAUUAUUCACUGUGCCAUAGGCAAGAUGCAGCAAGAUAAAACAGCUAAUGCAACACCAUUUUGAUUCGGUAGACCUGUAGGUUAUUUACUUAGAAGUUGCUAUUUAUUUUCUGUAGAUUUAGAUGUGCUACUCAAGGAGAGAUUCGAGAACAUCACCACAUUUAUGCUUUUAAAACUGGGUGAAAAAACAGCUGAGGAAAAACUCAGUACUUUCCUUUAUCUGAAUGUCUAUCCUAGAACUUAGUAAAAGCUUUAAAAAUAGUAUUAGAAAUAACUAUUGAACCAGGAACAAAGGAAAAAUUCUGAC